rnacentral:rRNA from 1 species
CCUACGGGUGGCAGCAGUGGGGAAUAUUGGGCAAUGGGCGCAAGCCUGACCCAGCCAAGUCGCGUGAGGGAUGACGGUCCUAUGGAUUGUAAACCUCUUUUGUCGGGGAGCAAGGCCCGCCACGUGUGGCCGGAAGGAGAGUACCCGCAGAAAAAGCAUCGGCAAACUCCGUGCCAGCAGCCGCGGUAAUACGGAGGAUGCGAGGGUUAUCCGGAUUUAUUGGGUUAAAGGGGUGCGAAGGCGGUAGGUUAAGUCAGCGGUAAAAUGUCGGUGCUCAACACCGGCCUGCCGUUGAAACUGGUCUUCUUGAGUGAGCGAGAGGUAUGCGGAAUGCGUGGUGUAGCGGUGAAAUGCAUAGAUAUCACGUAGAACUCCGAUUGCGAAGGCAGCAUACCGGCGCUCAACUGACGCUGAGGCACGAAAGCGUGGGGAUCGAACAGGAUUAGAUACCCCUGUAGUC